UACGGAGGAUGCGAGCGUUAUCCGGAUUUAUUGGGUUUAAAGGGUGCGUAGGCGGAAUAUCAAGUCAGCGGUAAAAAUUCGGGGCUCAACCCCGUCGUGCCGUUGAAACUGAUGUUCUUGAGUGGGCGAGAAGUAUGCGGAAUGCGUGGUGUAGCGGUGAAAUGCGUAGAUAUCAGGAGGAACACCAGUGGCGAAGGCGGCUUACUGGACUGUAACUGACGUUGAGGCUCGAAAGCGUGGGGAGCAAACAGG
rnacentral:rRNA from 1 species